rnacentral:rRNA from 1 species
UGCAGAGAUGCGGGAGUGCCUUCCGGGGAAUCGGAACACAGGUGCUGCAUGGCUGUCGUCAGCUCGUGGCUUCGUGAGAUGUUGGGUUAAGUCCCGCAACGAGCGCAUACCCUUGUCCUUAGUUGCCAGCGAGUAAUGUCGGGAACUCUAAGGAGACUCCGGUGACAAACCGGAGGAAGGUGGGGAUGACCGUCAAGUCCUCAUGGCCCUUACGGCCAGGGCUCACACGUACUACAAUGGUCGGUACAGAGGGUUGCAACGCGAGGUGGAGCCAAUCCCAGAAAGCCGAUCCCACCGCUCGAAGUCAACUCGACUUCGUGAAGUCGGAAUCGGCUAGUAAUCGCGGAUCAGCUAUGCCGCGGUGAAUACGUUCCCGGGCCUUGUACACACCGCCCGU